GUAAUAGCUCACUGGUCGAGUCGGCCUGCGCGGAAGAUGUAACGGGGCUAAACCAUGCACCGAAGCUGCGGCAGCGAACGUAUCACCCAAGACAACUUUACGGAGUUAACGAUUGACGGAGCGAAGCGACGUCAAAGCGUUCAUUAAAGUCGAGUUGGCUUAGGGAUACGUUCGUUGGGUAGGGGAGCGUUCUGUAAGCCUGUGAAGGUGGCCUGUGAGGGUUGCUGGAGGUAUCAGAAGUGCGAAUGCU
rnacentral:rRNA from 1 species